rnacentral:tRNA from 1 species
UGGCUCAGUGAUAGAGCGCUUGCCUUGCACGCAUGAGGCCCUGGGUUCGAUUCCUCAG